rnacentral:rRNA from 1 species
AGUUUGAUCCUGGAUCAGGACGUACGCUGGAGGCGUGCUUAACAAUGCAAGUCCAACNGAAAGGCCCAGCUUGCUGGGUACUCGAGUGGCGAACGGGUGAGUAACACGUGGGUGAUCUGCCCCUGACUUUGGGAUAAGCCUGGGAAACUGGGUCUAAUACCGAAUAUUCAUUUUUCCUCGCAUGGGGAUUUGUGGAAAGCUUUUGCAGUUGGGGAUGGGCCCGCGACCUAUCAGCUUGUUGGUGGGUAAUGGCCUACCAAGGCGAUGACGGGUAGCCGACCUGAGAGGGUGAUCGGCCACACUGGUACUGAGACACGGACCCAGACUCCUACGGAGGCAGAAGUGGGAAUAUUGCACAAUGGGCGCAAGCAUGAUGCAGCGACGCCGCGUGAGGGAUGACGGCCUUCCAGGUUGUAAACCUCUUUCAUGUAAGACGAAGCGCAAGUGACAGUACGAGCAGAAGAAGCACCGGGCAACUACGUGCCACAGGCCGCGGUAAUACGUAGGGUGCAAGCGUUCUCCGGAAUUACUCGGGUAAAGAGCUCGUAGGCUUUGUCCGUCUCUGUGAAAUUCUGCAGCUUAACUGCAGGAUGCAGCAUACGGACAGACUUGAGUACUACAGGGGUAAACUGGAAUUCCUGGUGUAAGCGCUGAAAUGCGCAGAUAUCAGGAGGAACACCGGUGGUCGAAGAGCGGUUCUCUGGGUAAGUACUGACGCCGAGGAGCAAAAACCGUGGGUAGAACAGGAUUAGAUACCCUGGUAAUUCC